UACAGAGGGGGCAAGCGUUGUUCGGAAUUACUGGGCGUAAAGGGCGCGUAGGCGGCCAACUAAGUCAGACGUGAAAUCCCCAGGCUCAACCUGGGAACUGCGUCUGAUACUGGAUGGCUCGAGUUCGGGAGAGGGAAGUGGAAUUCCAGGUGUAGCGGUGAAAUGCGUAGAUAUCUGGAGGAACACCGGUGGCGAAGGCGGCUUCCUGGACCGACACUGACGCUGAGGUGCGAAAGCGUGGGGAGCAAACAGG
rnacentral:rRNA from 1 species